GAUGAACGCUGGCGGCGUGCCUAAUACAUGCAAGUCGAGCGAACAGAUGAGGAGCUUGCUCCUCUGACGUUAGCGGCGGACGGGUGAGUAACACGUGGAUAACCUACCUAUAAGACUGGGAUAACUUCGGGAAACCGGAGCUAAUACCGGAUAAUAUAUUGAACCGCAUGGUUCAAUAGUGAAAGACGGUUUUGCUGUCACUUAUAGAUGGAUCCGCGCCGCAUUAGCUAGUUGGUAAGGUAACGGCUUACCAAGGCAACGAUGCGUAGCCGACCUGAGAGGGUGAUCGGCCACAGUGGAACUGAGACACGGUCCAGACUCCUACGGGAGGCAGAAGUAGGGAAUCUUCCGCAAUGGGCGAAAGCCUGACGGAGAACGCCGCGUGAGUGAUGAAGGUCUUCGGAUCGUAAAACUCUGUUAUUAGGGAAGAACAAAUGUGUAAGUAACUAUGCACGUCUUGACGGUAACUAAUCAGAAAGCCACGGCUAACUACGUG
rnacentral:rRNA from 1 species